CCCCGUAGAAGUUUUUUUCUUUAGAAACAGCAACAUUCUGAAGAAGAAUUUUAUAAGAUAAUUUUAUGGUAUGGUAACUGAGCUGACAUUUCUUUGUGCCUUAGGAAAUAUUUUUGUGACUGAGCUGAGUUCAUAUACACCGAAACCUUCCCUAACAAUCAUCUGCCUAUCUAGUCUGGGCUAAAAUCCCUUUAGUGGUGAGAAUUCCACCACCUUCUUAUCUAGGUUGGGCAUGUGCUUCUCUGUCCUUACACCUAGGAAACCUUUUCCCAAUUUCUCAGCUAAAUCUUCAUGGCUUCAGACUGAAACGAUUAUUUCUCAUCCUGCUUGUGGUGGACAUGGAGGAAACUGAUCACGAGCCUAACUAUAACAUCUUUCUGUUUCCAUCUCACUGAUGACCCUCAUUCUGCCUUUGGCCUUCUCCAGCCUGCAGUACUGGGCUGUAGUGCUGCUGUCUGUCCAGCUCCAGCUCUUUCCCUGCCAAUGCCUCCGGCCCUCUUCUUUGCUACUGCUUUUCUGCAGACUCACAGCACCACCCAGAACCUGCUGACAGCACCACCAAAUGAGGCAGCAGCGAGACCCCACUGCUUUCAGGUAAACCUGAGCUGUAGCCAAUGUGACGUGGUACUGCAGAGCCUUGUGUCUCCAGGAGAAAAAGUCCAGAGGACGAGGGCUGGAAAACUGCAAAGGUAUACCUGGAGAAGAUAAAGGAAAAAGUGAUGUGAGCACAUUUAAGAAAUGUGAUUUAUUUGAACAGUCCAACUGA